rnacentral:rRNA from 1 species
UACGUAGGGUCCGAGCGUUGUCCGGAAUUAUUGGGCGUAAAGAGCUCGUAGGCGGUCUGUUGCGUCGGCUGUGAAAACCCGGGGCUCAACUCCGGGCCUGCAGUUGAUACGGGCAGACUAGAGUUCGGUAGGGGAGACUGGAAUUCCUGGUGUAGCGGUGAAAUGCGCAGAUAUCAGGAGGAACACCGGUGGCGAAGGCGGGUCUCUGGGCCGAAACUGACGCUGAGGAGCGAAAGCGUGGGGAGCGAACGGG